rnacentral:rRNA from 1 species
UGGGGAAUUUUGGACAAUGGGCGCAAGCCUGAUCCAGCAAUGCCGCGUGCAGGAAGAAGGCCUUCGGGUUGUAAACUGCUUUUGUCAGGGAAGAAAUCCUCUGGGUUAAUACCUCGGGGGGAUGACGGUACCUGAAGAAUAAGCACCGGCUAACUACGUGCCAGCAGCCGCGGUAAUACGUAGGGUGCGAGCGUUAAUCGGAAUUACUGGGCGUAAAGCGUGCGCAGGCGGUUGUGCAAAGACAGGUGUGAAAAUCCCCCGGGGCUUAAACCUGGGAACUGCACUUGUGACUGCACGGCUAGAGUACGGUAGAGGGGGGAUGGAAUUCCGCGUGUAGCAGUGAAAUGCGUAGAUAUGCGGAGGAACACCGAUGGGAAGGCAAUCCCCUGGACCUGUACUGACGCUCAUGCACGAAAAGCGUGGGGAGCAAAACAGGAUUAGAUACCCUGGUAGUCCACGCCCUAAAACGGUGUCAACUGGUUGUUGGACGGCUUGCUGUUCAGUAACGAAGCUAACGCGUGAAGUUGACCGCCUGGGGAGUACGGCCGCAAGGUUGAAACUCAAAUGAAUUGACGGGGUCAUAGCUGUUUCCUG